rnacentral:rRNA from 1 species
UCAGUGGUCAGGAGGAUUAUUGGGCCUAAAGCAUCCGUAGCCUGUUCUAUAAGUUUGCGGUUAAAUCUAUACGCUCAACGUAUAGGCUGCCGUAAAUACUGUAGAACUAGGGAGUGGGAGAGGUAGACGGUACUCGAUAGGAAGGGGUAAAAUCCUUUGAUCUAUUGAUGACCACCUGUGGCGAAGGCGGUCUACCAGAACACGUUCGACGGUGAGGGAUGAAAGCUGGGGGAGCAAACCGGAUUAGAUACCCGGGUAGUCCCAGCUGUAAACGAUGCAGACUCGAUGAUGCAAUGGCAUAGAGCUAUUGCAGUAUCGCAGGGAAGCCGUUAAGUCUGCCGCCUGGGAAGUACGUACGCAAGUAUGAAACUUAAAGGAAUUGGCGGGGGAGCACCACAAGGGGUGAAGCCUGCGGUUCAAUUGGAGUCAACGCCAGAAAUCUUACCCGGAGAGACAGCAGAAUGAAGGUCAGGCUGAAGACCUUACCAGACAAGCUGAGAGGUGGUGCAUGGCCGUCGUCAGCUCGUGCCGUGAGAUGUCCUGUUAAGUCAGGUAACGAGCGAGAUCCCUGCCACUAGUUGCUAUUAUUACUCUCAGGAGUAGUGGGGCGAAUUAGUGGGACCGCCACAGUUAAUGUGGAGGAAGGAAGGGGCCACGGCAGGUCAGUAUGCCCCGAAACUCUGGGGCCACACGCGGGCUGCAAUGGUAGUGACAAUAGGCUCCUAACUCGAAAGAGAGAGGCAAUCCAAAAACACUACCACAGUUAUGACUGAGGGCUGUAACUCGCCCUCACGAAUAUGGAAUCCCUAGUAACUGCGUGUCAUUACCGCGCGGUGAAUACGUCCCUGCUCCUUGCACACACCGCCCGUCGUUUCAUCGAAGUUUGCUUUUAGUGAGGUGAUGUUUUAUUGGCAUAUCGACUGAGAAUG